UACAGAGGGGGCAAGCGUUAUUCGGAAUUAUUGGGCGUAAAGGGCGCGUAGGCGGCUUGGCAAGUGGAAGGUGAAAUCCCUCGGCUUAACCGAGGAACUGCCUUCCAGACUGCUAGGCUUGAGACCGGGAGAGGUGAGUGGAAUUCCCAGUGUAGCGGUGAAAUGCGUAGAUAUUGGGAGGAACACCAGUGGCGAAGGCGGCUCACUGGACCGGUACUGACGCUGAUGCGCGAAAGCGUGGGGAGCAAACGGG
rnacentral:rRNA from 1 species